UCCCAGCCCUUGGGCCCUGAGCGCCUUUGCACCUUUUCCUGCCCUCCAGAAGUGCUGAUCGUUACAGAAAUGUCCUACAGAUAUCAAAUCUUUAAUCCCAAACCGCCCCAAAAUUAGAAAAAAAUAAUAUGCCGAUCAAGAGAAUAGCCAACGGGUUGUCCUGAAAUUCAUAAACAACUUAAAGGUUUUAUUUUUAAGUAAUCCCUACACCCAGCC